AUUGAACGCUGGCGGCAGGCCUAACACAUGCAAGUCGAGCGGCAGCACUUCGGGUGGCGAGCGGCGGACGGGUGAGUAACACGUAGGAAUCUACCUAGUAGUGGGGGAUAGCCCGGGGAAACUCGGAUUAAUACCGCAUACGCUCUACGGAGGAAAGGGGCUUUGGCUCUCGCUAUUAGAUGAGCCUGCGUCGGAUUAGCUAGUUGGUGAGGUAAAGGCUCACCAAGGCGACGAUCCGUAACUGGUCUGAGAGGAUGAUCAGUCACACUGGAACUGAGACACGGUCCAGACUCCUACGGGAGGCAGCAGUGGGGAAUAUUGGACAAUGGGGGAAACCCGUGAUCCAGCCAUGCCGCGUGUGUGAAGAAGGCCUC
rnacentral:rRNA from 1 species